rnacentral:lncRNA from 1 species
AUCUCGAGGGACGGGAUAAGUGGCACCUGACGUGAGGGCGAGGUCCGGAUUGUAAUUCCUGAUCAGUGGAGGUUCCAGAGAAGUUCUCGCGACCCCAACAAUUCAGAAGCAGUGAAGGACCCCUUCCGCUGCUCACAGAAGAGUGAGAAGUCCUUGGUAAGUUGAGUCAUCUCCACUUCAGGUUAUGAGAAAUAAGCUAUCUAAAGAGGCAGCCUUCAUCAAAGGUUUAAAGAUAGCUCUCAGAGAAAGAAGAGUACGAGUUAAAAAAAAAAAAAAAGAUUAGAUAGACCUUUUAUUUUCAUAGACCAGGUAUGUCCAUGGUUUAUUAUAGAUGAAGCAGAAAUACGUUGUAAAAAUGGUGAAAGGUUGGUAGAGAUGUAAAUGAUAAACUAGCUAAUGAGGGUCCCAAUGUGGUCCCUGCAACUGUCUUUUCUGUCCCGAUGAUUUUUCUUAUUGAAGAGUAACUAUCAGAAGCAGCCACUGUACAUCCUCUCCCUUCUCUGGAAGUAUUCCCAGAAGAAGGAGAUAAGAAAGUAGAUUCUGAACAUGAGAGAAAGAAAAUAAGUUUUAAAAAAGCAGUUAUCCCCUGUUUGAGAUCUUUUAGCAAAACAGAGAAAAAAUGAAAAUAAGCUAUUUCAGAGCUAUCCUGGAGAAAGAAGGAAAGCAGGAGACAUCCCGUUUUCUCUCUGCCUCCUAUAGAGAUAUUCUUAGCUCUGGUUAGUAUAUCUGUGUCCCUUUGAGACACCAAGUUCUAUUCCCUAUCUGUCUAUUGUCUGUUUUUUUUGCACCAAAACAAAUUGUCCAUAUUUUUGUCAAUUCAUGUGUGUCUUUGUUUUGUGGUUUGAAUGAUUAUUGUUCUGUGUUUCAUGUUGAAAAAUAUACAUGUUUAAAACUUGUUUAAAAAGCAGUUUCAAAAUUACACAGCACAAGUUGAUAAGUUAGCUACACUGUGGCUGGGAGCCAAGUACAGCUGAAAAAGCCUUGCUGAGGGCUUGAUUACAAAAGGAGCUCUUAAAGGGGUAGGCAGCCUUUUGCUUGUAACAAAAAGUAAGCUUAAAAUUGGGAACUCAAGGUUAGAAUCUUUCUAAACAACAUAAACAAACACAAGAAAACAGGUCUUUUAGGAUACUUCAACAUAGGGAUAGUCUUUGAGCCAAGACUCUGGCAGAGUGUUUAGAUAAAAAAAAAAAGGUUUGCAUUUGGGUUAAGGCUGAGCUCAGAGGGGAGCAGCCUCAGCACAGCUUGUAUGGCCCUUCUUAGAGCCUUAUUACAGACCUAGCCAGAUGUUGUUCUAAACAUACCAUCAUAUAAAGUAAAAUUGAUAAUCAUUAUCGUAAGAUAGUUAAAAAAAUUAUUUCAUGCAUGCUUGUAUAUCUUCUAAAAUUCAUACAUGCAUUGCAUCCCAUUUACUGUGUUUAAAAAAUAGCCUUUAUAUGAGAGAAAAGUAUAUGUGAUUUAAAUCACAUGAUUAUUCUUUUGAGUUUCCUCCUGUUUCAGCACAGAUAAUUUAAUUAUGUGCUAAAGAUGGGGUUUGAAAAUGUUGUACAAUCAAACUUUAAGUUGUAUAUUAAUAGUCAAUAUUAAUUCUCUAGCUUGCAAUUGCUUAUGCAACUUAUAAGAAAAAAAUGCUGUUUCUUUAAGAAGACUGUUUUUAGACAGUUAAGAGAUUGUCCUAGGUCGCCUGAAACAGACCCCCCAGGUUUUGCUUUUGUGUUAUAGAGGUUUACAUAAAGCUUUAACUGAUAAAGAUUACAGAUAGCUCCUGAAAAGAUACAAACUCAGGAUCCUUAUAAUUAUUUGGGUUUUAGACUUACUGAUCAAACUGUUUUUCCCUAGAAGAUAGUUAUUUACAGAGACAACUUAAAGACUUUCUCUUAUUUCUGAUUAAUAAAUAUAUAAAUUAUACACAUGUGACUAUAAUAACUUUUCAAACAUUCUAGUUUCAAUCUCUCUUCAAGAGAAACAAUUAAAAGUGUAAUUAGUCACUGUCGAAGUUAUGUUAAAACCGACUAUAAUAGUCCAGUAUUUAAGUGGUUUUGUCAAAAAAUUUUUAAUUCUCAAAGACAAGGUAUUAUAACACUUUAAAACUCUAUCUUCUUAAAAACAUAAAAAAGGGGAAAAAUUAUACCCCCUGUACAUUAUUUAAAUCAUACUUUUAUUGUUAAGAGUUUUAAAUUUUAGAUGUCUAAGAACUUAAUAAAUGCCUCAUAGUAUCUUAAAACUAGAGAUAAUCAUGUCUAGGUGAGAUGAAAAGAUCCACUCAUUGACACAUGGCAUAAGCCUAAACAGGUUAUUAUGGGGAAAGGGGGGCGGUGUUUCUGUUUUAUCCACAGAAUGCUGCAAAAGCAUGCUAGCCUCCAGAAUGAUUCGUGUGACAGACUGACCUGUGAGUUCAUGAGUGCCCUGGCAGUGAUGACAAGAAAGCUGUGUUGAGUGUACAGAAAAAGAAGAAUCAGGGAGAGCAGACACUUACAAACAAGAUGAAGAAACUUCCUAUCUUCGCCAUGGGCUACAGCAAGGAGAGCCGACCUAGUGUCCACUUGAGGACAAGUAUAAAUGAUGACCCGUGGGGCAGAGAGACUGCUACCGUGUAUUUAACAAGAUUUCAUUAGAGACACUGUUUUUGGCCAUUCAGGCCAACUCCCCUAUAGCUUUGAAAGCUUUUGUACCUUACCUAUGUGCUAUAUUGUUAGAAAAUUUUAAGAGUUAAGAUCACCAAUCUUGACAAGUCUUUUCAUAUUCAUUGUAAUUGUUGUCAAUUAACUAAUCCUAUGGAUCCUAAGUUAGAUAAGGAAUUUGCUGUUAUGAUUUUGUUAAAGAGACCUCCUUAUGUUCUGCUGCCUGUUAAUAUUAAAAAAUUAUCUUUCGUUU